CGACUGUAAAUCUGGCGCUUUCUUCCGAGUGGCCGAAACCUGUUGCCUGUGUCACUUUCUUGUGUGUUUUUGGUCCAACGUAAUAACACCAAAAUGGAUGAGAAGCAGGGACCAACUUCUGAUGAUGUCCCAACUGGGGAGGUAACGUCAACCACAGUUACAGAGGGUGAUGUUGUCAAGAUGCCAACAGAUGUGGCCAUCACUAUGGAUGCUAUUCCCAAUGAAGAUGAGGAGGACAAAUCCAAAGGUCUUGACCCACAAGAUAACCAUUCCAUCAGCACCUCUG